GACGAACGCUGGCGGCGUGCUUAACACAUGCAAGUCGAACGGAAAGGCCCUGCUUUUGUGGGGUGCUCGAGUGGCGAACGGGUGAGUAACACGUGAGUAACCUGCCCUUGACUUUGGGAUAACUUCAGGAAACUGGGGCUAAUACCGGGUAGGAGCUCCUGCUGCAUGGUGGGGGUGGGAAAGUUUCGGCGGUUGGGGAUGGACUGGCGGCUUAUCAGCUUGUUGGUGGGGUAGUGGCUUACCAAGGCGUUGACGGGUAGCCGGCCUGAGAGGGUGACCGGCCACAUUGGGACUGAGAUACGGGCCAGACUGCUACGGGAGGCAGCAGUGGGAAAUAGUGCACGAUGGGCGGAAGCCUGAUGCAGCAACGCCGCGUGCGGGAUGACGGCCGUCGGGUUGUAAACCGCUUUCGCCUGUGACGAAGCGUGAGUGACGGUAAUGGGUAAAGAAGCAACGGCUAACUACGUG
rnacentral:rRNA from 1 species